AAUACUGCUCAAUGGAGGGAACUCUGACGCAGCGACGCCGCGUGAGCGGUGAAGGUCUUCGGAUCGUAAAGCUCUGUCCUUGGGGAAGAAGGACCUCGUACUUGACGUUACCUCAGGAGCAAGCCCCGUCUAACUACGCGCCAGCAGCCGCGGUAACACUUAGGGGGCAAGCGUUGUCCGGAAUUAUUGGGCGUAAAGGGUGCGUAGGCGGCCUUUUAAGUCAGAUGUGAAAGCCCACGGCUUAACCGUGGGACUGCAUUUGAAAGUGGAGGGGUUGAGUAUCGGAGAGGGUAGUGAAAUUCCCAGUGUAGCGGUGGAAUGCGUAGAUAUUGGGGGGAACACCAGUGGCGAAGGCGACUACCUGGACGAAAACUGACGCUGAGGCACGAAAGCUAGGGGAGCAAACA
rnacentral:rRNA from 1 species